rnacentral:tRNA from 1 species
AGAACUUUAGUUAAAUCAUAACAUGUGCUUGUCAAGCAUAAAUUACUUACGAAGUAAGUUCUA